UACGUAGGGUGCGAGCGUUGUCCGGAAUUACUGGGCGUAAAGAGCUCGUAGGUGGUUUGUCGCGUUGUUCGUGAAAACUCACAACUCAAUUGUGGGCGUGCGGGCGAUACGGGCAGACUGGAGUACUGCAGGGGAGACUGGAAUUCCUGGUGUAGCGGUGGAAUGCGCAGAUAUCAGGAGGAACACCGGUGGCGAAGGCGGGUCUCUGGGCAGUAACUGACGCUGAGGAGCGAAAAGUG
rnacentral:rRNA from 1 species